UUAUAACCAGGUUAUAACCUGGUUAUAACCUGAGACAUUACCUGGUUAUAACCAGGUUAUAACCUGGUUAUAU